rnacentral:rRNA from 1 species
CGGGAAUUGUGGCGUUAAGGAGGAUCCGCAACUCCCGUCGUCGCGCGCGGCUUGUCCAAGUCCUUCUUGAAAGAGGCCCGUUCGACCCGCAGAGGGUGCCAGGCCCGUAUGACAGCCGCCCGGCGAAGGGUCGGAUCUCUCCCUAGAGUCGGGUUGCUCGAGAUUGCAGCCCUAAGCAGGUGGUAAACUCCAUCUAAGGCUAAAUAUCACCACGAGUCCGAUAGCGAACAAGUACCGCGAGGGAAAGUUGAAAAGAACUUUGAAGAGAGAGUUCAAGAGUACGUGAAACCGUUCGGGGGUGAACCCGAGAAACCCGAAAUGUCGAAGGUCGAGAUACAGCGUUCGUCCGCCCAUCUGUGGCGGGGCGGGCGGCGUGCAUUUCUCGACCGGUAGGACGUCGCGACCCGUUGGACGCGGUCGACGUCACACGCGCGAAAGCGCGGGGGCGCGCUCGGGAAGCUCGGCCCGACGAGGCGGCGUCGCUUUUUGCGGCCUCGCGACAGUCGGUCGAACCCGCUGCGUUGCCCUUCGGCGUUCGGCACGUCCGACGCGGACAAAAACUGAAAGUUGACGAUCGGCGGAGCGCUCUUUGGCGCGCCCGACCCGUUCGCGUUCGCGACGCGUCGUCCGGUAUCGGCAGCAUCGGCGGUCCUUUCGGGCCGUCGACUCCGAGAAAGGCGCGCUCCGACGCGACGGUGCUCUCGGGCUUAUCGCACCGCUAAACGUCGGCGACGCUAUAGCUUUGGUACUCCNGGA